GGCUUUUUGAUUAUAAUUUAAAGUCUAACCUGCCCAAUGAAGUAAUUUAAUGGCCGCAGUAUUUUGACUGUGCAAAGGUAGCAUAAUAAUUUGUUUUUUAAAUGGAAACUAGUAUGAAGGGUUGAACGAGAUAGUAGCUGUCUCAAUUUAAUUUAAAUUAGAAUUUUAUUUUUAAGUUAAAAAGCUUAAAUUUUUUUAGAAGACGAGAAGACCCUAUAGAGUUUAAUAUUUGAAUUUUAUCAAAAUUUAAGGAAUUAAGAAAUUUAUUUAAGUUUUAAAGUAUUUGGUUGGGGUGAUUAAAAAAUUAGACUAACUUUUUUUUAUUUAUUAAUAUAUAUAUAUAUACAAAUAUUUGAUCCAUUUUUUAUGAUUAUAAGAUUAAAUUACCUUAGGGAUAACAGCGUUAUUUUUUUUGAGAGUUCUUAUCNAANAAAAAGUUUGCGACCUCGAUGUUGGAUUAAA
rnacentral:rRNA from 1 species